rnacentral:rRNA from 1 species
UACGAAGGGGGCUAGCGUUGCUCGGAAUCACUGGGCGUAAAGCGCACGUAGGCGGCUCCUUAAGUCAGGGGUGAAAUCCUGGAGCUCAACUCCAGAACUGCCUUUGAUACUGGGAAGCUUCGAGUCCGGAAGAGGUGAGUGGAACUGCGAGUGUAGAGGUGAAAUUCGUAGAUAUUCGCAAGAACACCAGUGGCGAAGGCGGCUCACUGGUCCGGUACUGACGCUGAGGUGCGAAAGCGUGGGGAGCAAACAGG